AUAAGUAAUCCACCUCGGGAGGACGUUCGCAAGAAUGAAAUUCAAAGGAAUUGACGGGGACCCGCACAAGCGGUUGAGCAUGUGGUUUAAUUCGAAGCAACGCGAAGAACCGCGCCGGGUCUCGACCUCCCAAGGACGCGUGGGGGAAGACACCUUCCCUUCGGGGCAAAGGAGACAGGUGGUGCAUGGUCGUCGUCAGCUCGUGUCGUGAGAUGUUGGGUUAAGUCCCGCAACGAGCGCAACCCCUAUUUUCAGUAGCCAGCAGGUAGAGCUGGGAACUCUGGAGAGACUGCCCAGGAGAACUGGGAGGAAGGCGGGGAUGACGUCAAAUCAUCAUGCCCCUUAUGAUCAGGGCUACACACGUGCUACAAUGGCGUAAACAAAGGGAAGCGAAAUGGUAACAUGAAGCAAAUCCGAGAAAUAACGUCUCAGUUCGGAUUGUAGUCUGCAACUCGACUACGUGAAGCUGGAAUCGCUAGUAAUCGCGAAUCAGAAUGUCGCGGUGAAUACGUUCCCGGGUCUUGCACACACCGCCCGUCA
rnacentral:rRNA from 1 species